rnacentral:rRNA from 1 species
UACGAAGGGGGCUAGCGUUGUUCGGAUUUACUGGGCGUAAAGCGCACGUAGGCGGAUCGUUAAGUCGGGGGUGAAAUCCUGGAGCUCAACUCCAGAACUGCCUUCGAUACUGGCGAUCUUGAGUCCGGAAGAGGUGAGUGGAACUCCUAGUGUAGAGGUGGAAUUCGUAGAUAUUCGCAAGAACACCGGUGGCGAAGGCGGCUCACUGGCUCAUUACUGACGCUCAGGCGCGACAGCGUGGGGAUCAAACAGG